UGGGCAACCUGCCCCUCUCUCUGGGAUAACCCCGGGAAACCGGAGCUAAUACCGGAUACUCCGGCUGGAUCGCAUGGUCCGGCCGGGAAAGGUCCGCCGGAGAGGGAUGGGCCCGCGGCCUAUCAGCUUGCUGGUGGGGUCAUGGCUCACCAAGGCGACGACGGGUAGCUGGUCUGAGAGGACGACCAGCCACACUGGAACUGAGAUACGGUCCAGACUCCUACGGGAGGCA
rnacentral:rRNA from 1 species